CACCGCACGGGGGAGUACGACCGCAAGGUUAAAACUCAAAUGAAUUGACGGGGACCCGCACAAGUAGUGGAGCAUGUGGUUUAAUUCGAAGAUACGCGCAGAACCUUACCAACACUUGACAUGUUUGUCGCGACUUUAAGAGAUUAAAGUCUUCGGUUCGGCCGGACAAAACACAGGUGCUGCAUGGCUGUCGUCAGCUCGUGUCGUGAGAUGUUGGGUUAAGUCCCGCAACGAGCGCAACCCUCACUUUUAGUUGCCACCAUUUAGUUGGGCACUCUGAAAGAACUGCCAGUGAUAAGCUGGAGGAAGGUGGGGAUGACGUCAAGUCCUCAUGGCCCUUACGUGUUGGGCUACACACGUGCUACAAUGGCAUUUACAAUAGGAAGCAAAACGGCGACGUUGAGCAAAUCCUAAAAAAAUGCCUCAGUUCGGAUUGUACUCUGCAACUCGAGUACAUGAAGCUGGAAUUACUAGUAAUCGCGGAUCAGCGCGCCGCGGUGAAUGCGUUCCCGGGUCUUGUACACACCGCCCGUCACACCAUGGGAGUUGGUUCUACCUUAAGGCAAGGUUUCAAACCCUUGACCACGGUAUAGUCAGCGACUGGGGUGAAGUCGUAACAAGGUAGCCGUAGGGGAACCUGCGGCUGGAUUACCUCCUUUCUAAGGAUGAAUGAAAAUAAAUUUUCAUUCUAAAUAAUAUACAGGUAAUGUUGACCGUCCUCAUUUCUCUUCUUAAAGUAGUGUUUCUCUUGCAUGGGGGCCGGUAGCUCAGUUGGUUAGAGCACACCCUUGAUAAGGGUGGGGUCGAAAGUUCGAGUCUUUCUCGGCCCACCAAAUUAGAUCAUGGGGGAUUAGCUCAGCUGGGAGAGCGCCUGAUUUGCAUUCAGGAGGUCAGCGGUUCGAUCCCGCUAUCCUCCACCAAAACACUUAGUUAUAGAAAAUCGUGAAAAAUAAAUAAUUAAUAUCAAUAUCUAUAUCCGAACAUUAGAAAUGUUAUUAACUAAUGUUCAAAAUAAAAAUUUGAUUCAACACAGAAUUUUUUUCUG
rnacentral:sRNA from 1 species